rnacentral:tRNA from 3 species
UUGCUUCAUAGCUCAGUGGGUAGAGCAACCGCCCGAUAAGCGGUAGGUCACUGGUUCAAGUCCAGUUGAAGCAACCAG